GUCAGGAUGGCCGAGCGGUCUAAGGCGCUGCGUUCAGGUCGCAGUCGGGUCUUCCCGGCGUGGGUUCGAAUCCCACUCCUGACAUCA
rnacentral:tRNA from 1 species